GUCUUUUUGAGUUAUUUUUAAAGUCUGACCUGCCCACUGAAUUUUUAAAUGGCCGCAGUAUUCUAACUGUGCAAAGGUAGCAUAAUCAUUAGUCUUUUAAUUGAAGGCUGGUAUGAACGGUUGGACGAGGUAUUAACUGUUUCAUAUAUAUUUAUGUUAGAAUUUUAUUUUUUAGUUAAAAAGCUAAAAUGAUGUUAAAAGACGAGAAGACCCUAUAAAUCUUUAUAUUUUUUAUAUUUUAAAUUUUUUGGAUUUAUUUUAUUUUUAUUAUAGAAAAUAUUUUGUUGGGGUGAUGUUAAAAUUUAAUGAACUUUUAAUUAUUUAGAAUCAUUAAUUUAUGAAUUGUUGAUCCAUUAUUAGUGAUUAUAAGAUUAAGUUACUUUAGGGAUAACAGCGUAAUUUUUUUGGAGAGUUCAUAUCGAUAAAAAAGUUUGCGACCUCGAUGUUGGAUUAAGAUAUAAUUUUAGGUGUAGCCGUUUAAAUGUUAAGUCUGUUCGACUUUUAAAUUCUU
rnacentral:rRNA from 2 species